rnacentral:rRNA from 1 species
GAGGGUUGUAGCUGGCUUAAGCAUGUGCACGCCCUCUUUCUCGACCAAGGUCCUUAUGGGCGCGGGGCGACCCGCGUCUUCAUAAGCCCCUUCGUGUASAAAGUCUAUGAAUGUUUUUACCAUCAUCGACUCGCGACUUCUAGGAGACGCGWUUCUUUGAGACAAAAGUUAUUACAACUUUCAGCAAUGGAUCUCUUGGCUCUUGCAUCGAUGAAGAACGCAGCGAAUCGCGAUAUGUAAUGUGAAUUGCAGAUCUACAGUGAAUCAUCGAAUCUUUGAACGCACCUUGCGCUUAUCGGUGUUCCGAUGAGCAUGCCUGUUUGAGCGUCAUUAAAUUCUCAACCCCUCUCGAUUUGCUUCGAGAGGGGGCUUGGAUCGUGGAGGCUGCCGGAGACCUGUUUUUCAGGACUCGGGCUCCUCUGAAAUGUAUUGGCUUGCGGUCGACUUUCGACUGCGCAUGACAAGGCCUUUGGCGUGAUAAUGAUCGCCGCUCGCCGAAGUGCACGAACGAAUGGUCUCGUGCCUCUAUCAGUC